CAGUCGCCACGGGAAUACGUAGGGUGCAAGCGUUAAUCGGAAUUACUGGGCGUAAAGCGUGCGCAGGCGGUUAUAUAAGACAGAUGUGAAAUCCCCGGGCUCAACCUGGGAACUGCAUUUGUGACUGUAUAGCUAGAGUACGGCAGAGGGGGAUGGAAUUCCGCGUGUAGCAGUGAAAUGCGUAGAUAUGCGGAGGAACACCGAUGGCGAAGGCAAUCCCCUGGGCCUGUACUGACGCUCAUGCACGAAAGCGUGGGGAGCAAACAGGAUUAGAUACCCCGGUAGUCCCUGUCUCUUAUAU
rnacentral:rRNA from 1 species